rnacentral:rRNA from 1 species
GACGAACGCUGGCGGCGUGCUUAACACAUGCAAGUCGAACGAAGUGGCGAACGGGUGAGUAACGCGUAAUCAACCUGCCCUCCAGCGGGGGACAACAGUUGGAAACGACUGCUAAUACCGCAUACUGAAGGAGGAGAUUGCGUCUGAUUAGCUAGGUGGAGGGGUAACGGCCCACCAAGGCGAUGAUCAGUAGCCGGGCUGAGAGGGUGAACGGCCAAAUUGGGACUUAGACACGGCCCAGACUCCUACGGGAGGCAGCAGUGGGGAAUCUUCCGCAAUGGACGAAAGUCUGACGGAGCAACGCCGCGUGAGGGAUGACGGCCUUCGGGUUGGAAAGCUCUGUUAAUCGGGACGCGGUACCGGAAUAGAAAGCCACGGCUAACUACGUGCCAGCAGCCGCGGUAAUUC